rnacentral:tRNA from 1 species
GGGGAUUUAGCUCAGCGGCAUAAGCGCCUGCCUUGCAAGCAGGCAGUGGUGACUUCGAUCCCUG